CCAUUAUCCUUAGUUGCCAACAGGUAAAGUCGGGAACUUUAAGGAGGCUGUCCGGUGAUAAGCCGGAGGAAGGUGGGGAUGACGUCAAGUCCUCAUGGCCCUUACGGGUAGGGCUACACACGUGCUACAAUGGGCGGUACAAAGGGAAGCGAAACCGCAAGGUGAAGCGGAUCUUAUAAAAGCCGCUCGUAGUCCGGAUUGGAGUCUGCAACUCGACUCCAUGAAGUUGGAAUCGCUAGUAAUCGCGGAUCAGAACGCCGCGGUGAAUACGUUCCCGGGCCUUGUACACACCGCCCGUCACACCAUGGAAGCAAGUAACACCCGAAGCCGGUGGCCUAACCCUUUUGGGAGGGAGCUGUCGAAGGUGGGACUCGUGACUGGGGUGAAGUCGUAACAAGGUAGAUCAA
rnacentral:rRNA from 1 species